rnacentral:rRNA from 1 species
UACGUAGGGUGCGAGCGUUGUCCGGAAUUACUGGGCGUAAAGGGCUCGUAGGUGGUUUGUCGCGUCGUCUGUGAAAUUCUGGGGCUUAACUCCGGGCGUGCAGGCGAUACGGGCAUAACUUGAGUACUGUAGGGGUAACUGGAAUUCCUGGUGUAGCGGUGAAAUGCGCAGAUAUCAGGAGGAACACCGAUGGCGAAGGCAGGUUACUGGGCAGUUACUGACGCUGAGGAGCGAAAGCAUGGGUAGCGAACAGGAUUAGAAACCCCGGUAGUCC